AUGAAUGACAUCAGCAAAUCCCUAAACAAGACUCUUCAUACAGAGCAUUUCAUCUACCUAUUGUCCAAGGGCUGCCCUCUGAAGGUGAUGGCCACAAAGAUGAGGUGGAUUUGUUACUCUGGAUACCAUUGCUUCUACCACCAGCUUCUCCAAAUCUACGACAGUCUUCCUCAGGACUCUGCUGGGGGUGGUAUCAGGUCUUAUUUCCAAUAGCAAGACUCUCAAUCAAGGUAUUCACCACUGCCUGAAGAAAUCCAGGUGAGUGAAUAUUUUGCUCUUAGACAAAGGCCCCAAAGGACAUUGGACUAUAGGGGAAGCCUGCCUUAUCUCUGUAAAGAGGAGGGGCUCCUUGCAGGUCCCUCAAUCACAAAGGAGGGCUAAUAUCUCCUACAGUGUCAUCACAAAUGGGAGAGAAUCUUGGGCACUGAAAUGCCUGUCAUUAGAACAGAAAUCUAAUCAGAUUGUAAAUGGAGGCAAUACUUUCUACUGUUUCUCUAUGGAGAACAUUAGCAAGGGUCUCUGUAAUCUUUGGGGCUGAUGAGGCUUAUGCCCAAAAUGGUCAGCCACCUUAGGUGUGUGCCUUGACAUUCCCCAAGGAACUAGGGCAUAAAAACAUUAUACCCCAGGCCCAGAGAUGGUGAGAUGCAGGCAUCAACCUGGCAUAGAGUUUUAGCUGGAAGCUGCUGUUAGCUAUUGAGAGAGCUGAAGGGUAUCCCCUUAGCAUCCAUAGGACUUGGCCAGGAUAGUUUCAGGGCUACUGGACUCUUGAUAAUACAAAUGUUACAAGUGGGCUUUUUGAUGUAUUUUGCUAAGUCUUGUUGGGCCCUUUGCAAUCAUGUGGCAAACUUCCUCUCCAGAAGGCACUCUUUUCAGCGAGGGCACCCAACAGAGGAGAAACUGUACUGCGUGUAUUGUACCAAAAGGCUGUGGAGAGCCAUUGGUAGCUAUGAUGUAUCAUCUCCAUGAAAAACCUCUGUUUACUGGAAGUAGAGGGGUGGCUUCAGGAGGUGGACAGAGGAAUGAGAUGUAGCCUUGACAUUGUUUGGGAAUAGAGGGCAGUACAUUGGUGGAAGUGCAGAACGAAUGGAUUUGGCCCUUGUUCCUGGCCUAAACCUCCUCUUGGACUUUGCCUGAUUGACCCACGGAUAACACAUGAGCGGAUGGUCUCUAGAUAAAUGAUUCAUUGAGCUUGAUUCCAAAUCACAGCCAACUUUUCGGUGAGUUUCCAGGCCCAAUCACAUUUGUCCGUGAUACCUGGCAGUGAAUAUGAUAGAGCCCACUCUAAAGUCACACAUUCCCAAAGAAACCACCACAGUGUUUGGUCACCCAAGGGACCUCACAAAAGAAUGUCAGAUGAGUGGAAAACAAAUUACGUUUGCCUUCCCACUGGAGACAUCUAUGGG
rnacentral:lncRNA from 9 species